rnacentral:rRNA from 1 species
CCCUACGGGAGGCAGCAGUAGGGAAUCUUCCACAAUGGACGAAAGUCUGAUGGAGCAACGCCGCGUGAGUGAAGAAGGUCUUCGGAUCGUAAAACCCUGUUGUUAGAGAAGAAAGUGCGUGAGAGUAACUGCUCACGUUUCGACGGUAUCUAACCAGAAAGCCACGGCUAACUACGUGCCAGCAGCCGCGGUAAUACGUAGGUGGCAAGCGUUAUCCGGAUUUAUUGGGCGUAAAGGGAACGCAGGCGGUCUUUUAAGUCUGAUGUGAAAGCCUUCGGCUUAACCGGAGUAGUGCAUUGGAAACU